rfam:Chlorocebus sabaeus isolate 1994-021 chromosome 1, whole genome shotgun sequence.
UACUUUCUUCGGCACACACUUUACCAUGUCAGUAUUAACCAACUACCACUAAUACAUUAGUGCUUUUAUGUACUUCGUGCAUUACUGCUAGUCCCUGUGAAUAUUGUAUU